UACGUAGGGGGCUAGCGUUGUCCGGAUUCAUUGGGCGUAAAGCGCGUGUAGGCGGUCCGGUAAGUCCGCUGUGAAAGCUCGGAGGCUCAACCCUCGAAUGCCGGUGGAUACUGUCGGGCUAGAGUACGGAAGAGGCGAGUGGAAUUCCUGGUGUAGCGGUGAAAUGCGCAGAUAUCAGGAGGAACACCAAUGGCGAAGGCAGCUCGCUGGGACGUUACUGACGCUGAGACGCGAAAGCGUGGGGAGCAAACAGG
rnacentral:rRNA from 1 species